ACGAACCGGACAAACGUUAUUCGGAAUUACUGGGCUUAAAGGGUACGUAGGCGGUCCGGUAAGUGGGGUGUGAAAUCCCUCGGCUCAACCGAGGAACUGCGCCCCAUACUGCCGGACUUGAGGGAGACAGAGGUAAGCGGAACUGAUGGUGGAGCGGUGAAAUGCGUUGAUAUCAUCAGGAACACCGGUGGCGAAAGCGGCUUACUGGGUCUCUUCUGACGCUGAGGUACGAAAGCUAGGGGAGCGAACGGGA
rnacentral:rRNA from 1 species